GCUAACGGCUGAACUGGCAACUUGGAGAAGUGGCAAGUCUUCCAGUAUGGGGAGCAAAACAGCUAUGGGUCAAGUCCGAUAUCUUUAGGAGAAGUCUUAUUGUGAGGGCGAGUUUUAUAACACCAUAGGACUGGCCGCCCCAUAUGAAAAGAUUAUAUUAGAAUUGAAUGAAGCUUUGUUUAUAUAUUGAUAAUGACAGUAUAUAUAUCGUGUCUUGACUAAUUGCGUGCCAGCAGUCGCGGUAAUACGUAAGAGACUAGUGUUAUUCAUCUUAAUUAGGUUUAAAGGGUACCCAGACGGUCAAUAUAGCUUAUAAAAUGUUAGUACUUGACUAGAGUUUUAUGUAAGAGGGCAGUACUUGAGGAGGAGAGAUGAAAUUUCGUGAUACCAAAGGGACUCUGUAAAGGCGAAGGCAGCCCUCUAUGUAAAAACUGACGUUGAAGGACGAAGGCACAGAGAACAAACAGGAUUAGAUACCCAAGUAGUCUUUGCAGUAAAUGAUGAAUGCCAUAGGUUAGAUGGGUGGGUAGUCUAGUUGAGUUAGUUUAGCAAACUAAUGAUAUAGACGAGCCCACCAUAUAUUUGGUCUAUAAAUGAAAGUGUAAGCAUUUCACCUCAAGAGUAAUGUGGCAACGCAGGAACUGAAAUCACUAGACCGUUUCUGACACCAGUAGUGAAG
rnacentral:rRNA from 1 species